AUUGAACGCUGGCGGCAUGCCUUACACAUGCAAGUCGUACGGUAACAGGUUAAGCUGCCGAGUGGCGAACGGGUGAGUAAUACAUCGGAACGUGCCCAGUAGUGGGGGAUAGCCCGGCGAAAGCCGGAUUAAUACCGCAUACGACCUAAGGGUGAAAGGGGGGGAUCGCAAGACCCCUCGCUAUUGGAGCGGCCGAGGGCAGAUUAGCUAGUUGGUGGGGUAAAAGCUCACCAAGGCGGCGAUCUGUAGCUGGUCUGAGAGGACGACCAGCCACACUGGGACUGAGACACGGCCCAGACUCCUACGGGAGGCAGCAGUGGGGAAUUUUGGACAAUGGGCGCAAGCCUGCUCCAUCCAUGCCGCGUGCGGGAAGAAGGCCUUCGGGUUGUAAACCGCUUUUGUCAGGGAAGAAAGCUUUUGGGUUAAUACCUCGGGGGGAUGACGGUACCUGAAGAAUAAGCACCGGCUAACUACGUG
rnacentral:rRNA from 1 species